rnacentral:lncRNA from 1 species
CAACCUCAUCUCAGUGGGUUAUGAAGGCAUCAAAUCAGAUGUGAUCCUCAGGAUGGAGCAGGAAGAAGCACCAUGGAUUUUUAAGGAUGCAUGUCCAGGCUGCCACUGUUGACCAGGUACCCGACAAGUAAACUUCCCGAUGAAAGGACAGCAAAGCAUGCUUUUAAGAUAAAGUGCACGCUUCAAUUAAAAAAAAAUUGCCAAAGAUAAGAAGCUAUGAAUAAUGUUCAGGAAAAUAUUACUUUUGAACGCUGAUAAUUUCUGUUCAAUUCAAAGUUUUAAUAAUUGAAAUACUUCUGGAAAGAGCUUGAAAUAUAAUUUAGACCUGGUAGGUUUUAAGGUAAACUACUCAAAAAAAUAAGUUGCUUAGGAAGUUGUUAGAUAAGUGUACAAACUGUGAUAAAAGACAUAACAGGAAAAAUCCUGGGAAUGCAGCCACUGUGAGAAAGCUUUCAGCCAUAACACAGCACUUACGUAUAAACUAGUAGUAACCAAUUAUCUUAUGUACAAGUGAAUAAAGAUCCACCUGAAGAGAAAUUACACAUCUGUGAGGAAUAUGAAAAAGCCUUCUGCCACAAGUCUGAAUUCAUUAGGCAUCAGAGAAAUCACACUAGGGAGUAACCAUAUGGGUGUACUAACUGUGGGAAAACCUUUUCACAUAAGUCAACCCUCAUCAAACAUCAAAGAAUUCACACUAUGUUUUUUGUAGGAAAGCCAUCACUCAUAAUCAUAUCUCACAGAACAUCAGAGAACACAUACAGGAGAAAGAACCUUUGUGUCUUUGUGUGCAAUGAAUGUGGAAAGUCAUUUGACAAAAAAGUCAUACCUCAAUGUACAUUGAAAAACCCAUGCAGUAUAAAGACCUGUUGUUGUAGAGAAUGUGGAAAAUCCUUUAGUCAGAAGUCAUGCAACAAUAAAUAUUGGAGAACUCAUACAGAAGAGAAAACAUGGAUGCAAUGA